ACAAUACAUGGCUCAUCUUCAACUCCGUGGCGUCGACAUUGUUAUAUAUAGCACUCUCAUUCAUUCUAUAUCUGUAUACAUUGUACAACCACAAAACAGUCAAGAGAACGCAUGAUGCUGCCCAAGGCCUCUCUCGUCUUCCUUCUUUUCCUAGUCCUUUCAUCCAACACGAUCAUUUCUUCAAGAGUCGCCGACGCCCGCCAGAUGAGCAACGGAGGAAGCAACAUCGAAAAGAUGGCAGUGAGCAAGAUUGCUGUUAGUGGAAGUAAAUUUAGGGCGGACGGUAUACAUUACCCUUAGCAUAGCUUUUCGAAGAUCCUUCCUAAGAGGCCAUGCCUGCCAUAGGGAAUCUUUCAAGUGAUUCUCGAUUAUUAGUUUUUCUGUUCGGUUGCUCCUAAUAUUUGUUUGCUUUCUAUACCCUCCAUGGUUAAUUAGGGUUUUCCACGUACUUUUGUUCAUGGAGCUCAAAUGAUUUCUUUGAAUACCCUGCGAAUAGAAAGAAUGUAAAUUAUUUGUUUAUAGAAUUGAUAUCCCUUUGCCUUU